ACAAAAACUUAUCUUCUUUCAUCCCCUCUUCCUCUUCCUGCCCUCUCUAUCUCACACUUGCUCCUCCAACGAACUCCGCCAUUGACAGCUUCAGCCUCCGCAUGCAGCUGCUGAAGUUUGGUGUACUUGCUCUUCUGGUACGCAGAAUUGGUUAGGCAAAAACAACUACUCCCUGCAGUAAGAAAUGCCCUGUCCGGAGAAAAAGCCCCAAUAGAAUUGGUCACAUCUCCCACGACAACUUUCACAUUGCUGGUCAAGAUGGUUUUCAGCCCACUUUCAACCUUACAGCCCAAAGAUUGGCACAAAACAAUUCAUGUGCGUGUCUGCAGAAAAUGGGAGUAUCGUGGAAUCAACGAAGACAACCCCUUGCAGCAUAUCGAUUUGGUUCUUGUCGACAGCCAGGGAAACACCAUGUAUGCUGA